GAUGAACGCCGGCGGCGUGCCUAAUACAUGCAAGUCGAGCGAACUGAUUAGAAGCUUGCUUCUAUGACGUUAGCGGCGGACGGGUGAGUAACACGUGGGCAACCUGCCUGUAAGACUGGGAUAACUUCGGGAAACCGAAGCUAAUACCGGAUAGGAUCUUCUCCCUCAUGGGAGAUGAUUGAAAGAUGGUUUCGGCUAUCACUUACAGAUGGGCCCGCGGUGCAUUAGCUAGUUGGUGAGGUAACGGCUCACCAAGGCAACGAUGCAUAGCCGACCUGAGAGGGUGAUCGGCCACACUGGGACUGAGACACGGCCCAGACUCCUACGGGAGGCAGCAGUAGGGAAUCUUCCGCAAUGGACGAAAGUCUGAUGGAGCAACGCCGCGUGAGUGAUGAAGGCUUUCGGGUCGUAAAACUCUGUUGUUAGGGAAGAACAAGUACGAGAGUAACUGCUCGUACCUUGACGGUACCUAACCAGAAAGCCACGGCUAACUACGUGCCAGCCGCCGCCGUAA
rnacentral:rRNA from 1 species